GUCUGGAGCCGAGCGGCUGCGAGCGGCAGUGGUGUUGUAGCUUUGGUGGAGAGAGAAGUUCCCCGAUUAAAAAGGUUAUGCUGUCUAACGUCCGUCCUGUUAUUCCUGAGGAGAUAUAGACCAAAGAGCGAGUGUCUCCCCAGUCAGAAAGUCCCCCUUGGCUAUGCACAUAUGAAAUGCUUUCACUGGGGUAAAACGGGGCAUCUUGUUUGGGCCUGUCCUGAGAGGCAGGGUGACCCACGGUUCUGGGCCACGGUUCUGCCAGCUGUUCGGUCCCAGACCUGCUGCUGCACCAGAGCUAAAGGAGAGUGAGUCCCAAACCCAGAAGUCCACCAGAGUUACAAAACCCCUGAAAAGCGCUGAAGCAGCACAGGAAAAGACUUGUUUUCUGAACCUGCCCCGGAUCAGCCCUGCUCAGUGGGUUCUGCUGCAGUGCUGGAGCUUCCUGCACUGGCAGAGGCAGGUACAGGGGUGCAGAGCCAUCACUCGGAAACACCAGACACUACACCAGUGCAGGUUGAUGGGGGGUGGAGAUGGAGGAAGAGCCCAUUGUUAAAGUACCAACAUAGAGGAAAGAACAAGGUGAUGGACAGCAGAAAGAAGCAAACAAGAAACAAAGAUAUAAGAAAUGGAGUCAGACUGAAGAGUGUGUGUCAGCGUCUGCCUUCGGUUCACAUGAGGAACAGUUAAGUGUUGUGGAAAGUGCAGAAGAUAUUAAAGAAUUAUUUAAAAAACACAAAAUGGCAAAAAAACAUUUAUGAAGUGAAGUGAAGUGACAUACGGCUAAGUAGUGGCCCAGACUCCGAAAUUUUUCUCUGCAUUUAACCCAUCCAAAGUGCACACACACACAGCAGUGAACAAACACACACACACACACACACACACACGCGCGCACAGUGAACACACACUGUGAACACACAU